GAGAAUUGUGUCGAAAAUAUGGUUUAAACGUCACGCUCCGAGCAAUAUUUAAAGUAAUCUUCGCCAUUGAAUUGCGGUUCGUUAUUCGACUUCAUCGCCCUUGAGAAACCCUCCCUGUCAAAAAACAGGAAGUGGGUUAUAUCUGUGGUAUAACCGCAAGGGUGACGUAUCGUUGAUUUAGUGAGCAUUUGUUUCUGGUUGCAUCUGAAUCAAUUCGGAAUGAAUGAAUAAAUGAAUAUUUGGGGGACUUCGAAAACGAGAGCGUUACGUUGGAGGCACAAUAUCCAGCAAAAGGAACAAUCACACAAAAGUUGUAUAAUAUAAGUUAGCACAGUUAGCACAAAUCGAGACCGCAUAGCCGAUAAGCGGAAUAUAAACAUCCGAAUCACCAUCCAGCUGCAUCAUCAUCAACAAUCACAACUUAUCGGACCACCCGGAGACCAAGAAUAAACAAUCAACCGUUCACAAGAAUCGAUAUCAGCAUCGCGCUGAUGCCAUGAAUAAACAUUCCCACAUUCAAGAUGUUGUAAACACAAAUCAUUGAUAUAUAUAAGCAGGGACAAUGAAUGUAAGGUUAGAGUUAAAUUUGAAUAGUGAAUAGAUGCACAUCGUGUGCUCGAAAAGAAGAAAUUGUUUUUUUUAAGUAAAGUUUAGUGUUUAAGAUUAACUGGCGCCCGAAUAGGGACCUUGCCAAGUGAAAGUAGUGCCAAGGAAGUGAGACAAGUGAAGUGAUAGGGUGAACGAUAGAGUUACCACCCACACUAUCCGAAAAAAAUAUCCGAACGCACGAAGCCUCUCUGGACCGCAGGACCUCUGCAGCCGUGUGGAAGAGCCCCUCAGUAGCCACAACAGUUAGGAGCUCGCUUGUGGACCAAACAGGAAUUUGCCGCCACACUGGGAAGGAAGGAAGACACUUCAAGGAUCCCGACCAACCAGUCUCGCUGAACCCGCCAGCGGUUGGAUAAAUCAAAAGGUGAUAAUAGGACAUCGAGACAAAAGUACUGGACACGCGCACCGAAGCUUUUCGAGACGUCACUGAAAGAGGAUUGACAUCCGAAAGUACGUUGUUCCGCAGUCUUGUGGUGUUCCCACAAGAUGUUCAGGAUUUACAUACGUAAACAAAAGGCCAACAUAACAGUCCACUUCGACAAAAACGCUGAGACCAUCCUAAUAAAUGAGCCACCAAAAACAACGGAAAUUAAACCUGACACCAACAACACAGAGGAAUUAUCAGACGAAAGAAAAAAACAACUUCAAGCAUUCUUUGAUGCACCAACACCA